rnacentral:tRNA from 1 species
CGGGGUGUAGCUCAGGUGGCUAGAGUGCAUGCUUGGGGUGCAUGAGGCCGGAGGUUCAAGUCCUCUCACUCCGACCA